rnacentral:lncRNA from 1 species
CGAGACUCCCUCUCAAAAAAAAAAAAAAAACUGUUAGGUAUAUAUUACGGUAUAUAUAUUAAGGCAGACCUGGGUCGGUCUCAUACUGGAAUGCCUAUUAGCUGCAUGAGGGGAAACAGUAACCAGAAAGUAGAGGACUGGACAACAUCUGGACCAAGGGAUCAAAAUUAACAUCAAUAAGGAAGUCGCUAUGCACAGUUCACACUUAAGGACUGAGGAAGAGUUAUGUUCCAUCUCCUUGAAGUCCUAGAAUCAGGCGUUUCUUUAAGAGGCCCUACUUCCUCUAAUUGGAUAAUUCUAGAAACCGGUAUUUGAAUCUGAGGAGGCCAUAAUCCCAAACAAAUUAAUGCAGUGAUAGAAAACCAAAUACCUCACGUACUCACUUCUAUGUGGGAGCUAAACAUUGAACACAUAUGGGAACAAUAGACACUGCAGACUACCAGAGUGGGGAGGUCGAGAUGGGAGUGUGGAUGGAAAAACUACCUAUUGGGUACAAUGCUCACUGACUGGAGGCAAUGUAUUCAUGUAACAAGCCUGCACAUGUACCCUGUACCGAAAAUAAAAGUUGAAAAAAAAGUCUUUAACUUCACUUAAUAACUAAAAUGGCCAUUUAAAACUGUAUCUAAAUAUGUAUCACAAACAUGUCUUUUAUUAAAUAUGGAUAAUAAGGGAUAUUUUAAUCUCUAUUAAAAAUAUCAAAAUAUAAUGCCAGUUUCAUAUAUGCAUAUUAAUUAUGAGAAAAUAAUUAAAAUAGUGAUUUCUUACAAAGUAGUAUCAAUAUAGUUGAAAAUACUCUCAGUGGAAAGGAAACCAUUAAAUAUACACAACGAGUCUCCAACAGAUUAUUGGUAUUAAUAAGUAAAUUGUUUAGAGUGCUAUUUGUUAUUAUUUGGAAUUUAUUAGGCAAAGUGUCAAAUAAGCAGGCAAUAUGAAUCUCUUUCCUUAACCAUAAUGAGUAAACACUGUCAUGGAAACAUUAAAAGUCUUUCAUUUGGAAAGACCCCAAGAAUUCAUGAGCUGAAAGGGUUUUAAUAUAGGGAACUCUCAUCAGUAAAGUGGAACUUUUGAAAAAGCAUAUUUUGGAGAAUCAUAGUAAAGUUUUACAUUGUUUGUAAAGUUUAACGUCACAGCAAUUCUUCAUAGAAAAAAAUCUUAAAUCUAAGAUUGUCAAUCCACUUCUUUUCGAGUAUUGUAGUCACUUAGAAAUAGCAGUUAAAAUUGAAAAAAAACCUCUUAAAAGCAUUGACUUUUAUACUUCAUUCCAACUAAACAAUUCACUAUUUACUUAUUUCACAGUUAAUCUCUAUGCUAAAUCUGAAAGUAUGCUCUCAAUAACAACUAUAAUAAAAGAAUGUUGGGAUAAUGACACAAGAUGAUAAAAGCAAGGAAAUGCUCAUUUAAGGAUAUAAUCUCUGUCAUAUAUACGAGCUUUAAGUAGAAAUGAGGUAGGAUAAAUGCUUCACAAAAAGUUAUCCAGAGAAUUCCUAUAGAACAAAGACUUAUCAAAAGGUGAUACUUUCCAAUCCUUGUUGACAAAGACUUUCUAAUAUAAGAUAUAUUGUUCUAUAAAACUAUGUGCAAAUUAAUUUCCUAGGCAAGAGUUCCUCACCAUCUUUAGGUAACUGAAAAUUUAUAGAAGAAUCGUAAAACUAAUUUUGUUAGUGGCAGUGUUUGGUUAAUUAGUAGGGCAGAAGUAAUGCUGUGUGGUCAGCAAACCCAUUUUUUUUUUCCUUCAGAUAGGAUCUCACUCUGUCACCCAGGCUGAAGUGCAGUGGCACCAUCAUGGCUCACUGCAGCCUUAACCUCCCGUGCUCAAGCAAUUUUCUCGCCUCAACCUCCUGAGUAGUUGGGUCUACAGGCGCAUGUCACCACGUCUGGCUAGUUUUUUAAUUUUUAUUUUUUGUAGACACAUGGUCCCACUAUGUUGCUCAGGCUGGUUUCAAACUCUUGGAUGCAAGGUAUCCUCCCAUCUUUGCCUCUCAAAGUGCUGGGAUUACAGGCGUGAGCUACUGUGCCAGCCCAUUUCUUUUUCCUCCAAAAUACACAGCUAAAUUAUAUUCCCACACCUCCCCUGCAAUUAGGUUGGGCCAUGUGGUUGACUUCAAGUUAAUGGGAUUAAGGAAUUAUCCUGCUGGCUCUCCAAUAAGCUUUCUUCCCUCCUUACCCAAUGUUGUGUAUCCUUUGGAAGACUCCAAAGCCCUAAAGAAUGGCAGAGUCACUUCCAGGGUUCCUGAAUGACUAAAUGGGACUCAAUGAAACAGAUUCACCCCACUCUUCACCCAACUUGCACUGGAAUGUGAU